AUGUGCGAGGGCUCAGCGAAGUGGACGGAUCGAACAUGCACGCACCAGGUCGCAGUGUACGUAGUACCAUCAUCGGCGCGCCCCGGCCGGUUAGUCGAGCUCGAGCAGCAUGCGCCGUUUACAGGCAUGCAGCCAAUCCGUGUCAUGCAUGUGGCAGUAGUAGUAACACUGUGCAAAUACCUAUGCACGUACAGCCUACAGCAUCGGGGUACAGAGGCUAUGCAGUGUACGCCCGUAGAUACACAGCAUCGAUCACAUGCCCGCCGCUGCGAGCAGGAACGGACGAGCGUACAGAAGCUAGCUAGGGAGCAAGCGGGUCGCCCUCUCGUCGACGGCAGACAGGCGCACGCACGGUGCCGCGCUCGCGGGGCCGGCUCCGGCGUCGACCAUGUGAACGAGGCAGGAUAG
rnacentral:rRNA from 1 species